rnacentral:snRNA from 1 species
AUAAAGAAAUAGUUAAUGAUACAAU